rnacentral:rRNA from 1 species
UGCAAGUCGAGCGGUAGCACAGAGAGCUUGCUCUCGGGUGACGAGCGGCGGACGGGUGAGUAAUGUCUGGGAAACUGCCUGAUGGAGGGGGAUAACUACUGGAAACGGUAGCUAAUACCGCAUAAUGUCGCAAGACCAAAGUGGGGGACCUUCGGGCCUCAUGCCAUCAGAUGUGCCCAGAUGGGAUUAGCUAGUAGGUGGGGUAACGGCUCACCUAGGCGACGAUCCCUAGCUGGUCUGAGAGGAUGACCAGCCACACUGGAACUGAGACACGGUCCAGACUCCUACGGGAGGCAGCAGUGGGGAAUAUUGCACAAUGGGCGCAAGCCUGAUGCAGCCAUGCCGCGUGUGUGAAGAAGGCCUUCGGGUUGUAAAGCACUUUCAGCGGGGAGGAAGGCGUUAAGGUUAAUAACCUUGGCGAUUGACGUUACCCGCAGAAGAAGCACCGGCUAACUCCGUGCCAGCAGCCGCGGUAAUACGGAGGGUGCAAGCGUUAAUCGGAAUUACUGGGCGUAAAGCGCACGCAGGCGGUCUGUCAAGUCGGAUGUGAAAUCCCCGGGCUCAACCUGGGAACUGCAUUCGAAACUGGCAGGCUAGAGUCUUGUAGAGGGGGGUAGAAUUCCAGGUGUAGCGGUGAAAUGCGUAGAGAUCUGGAGGAAUACCGGUGGCGAAGGCGGCCCCCUGGACAAAGACUGACGCUCAGGUGCGAAAGCGUGGGGAGCAAACAGGAUUAGAUACCCUGGUAGUCCACGCCGUAAACGAUGUCGAUUUGGAGGUUGUGCCCUUGAGGCGUGGCUUCCGGAGCUAACGCGUUAAAUCGACCGCCUGGGGAGUACGGCCGCAAGGUUAAAACUCAAAUGAAUUGACGGGGGCCCGCACAAGCGGUGGAGCAUGUGGUUUAAUUCGAUGCAACGCGAAGAACCUUACCUGGUCUUGACAUCCACAGAACUUUCCAGAGAUGGAUUGGUGCCUUCGGGAACUGUGAGACAGGUGCUGCAUGGCUGUCGUCAGCUCGUGUUGUGAAAUGUUGGGUUAAGUCCCGCAACGAGCGCAACCCUUAUCCUUUGUUGCCAGCGGUCCGGCCGGGAACUCAAAGGAGACUGCCAGUGAUAAACUGGAGGAAGGUGGGGAUGACGUCAAGUCAUCAUGGCCCUUACGACCAGGGCUACACACGUGCUACAAUGGCAUAUACAAAGAGAAGCGACCUCGCGAGAGCAAGCGGACCUCAUAAAGUAUGUCGUAGUCCGGAUUGGAGUCUGCAACUCGACUCCAUGAAGUCGGAAUCGCUAGUAGUCGUAGAUCAGAA